rnacentral:rRNA from 1 species
AUUGAACGCUGGCGGAAUGCUUUACACAUGCAAGUCGAACGGCAGCACGGACUUCGGUCUGGUGGCGAGUGGCGAACGGGUGAGUAACAUAUCGGAACGUAUCCAAUAAUGGGGGAUAACGAGUCGAAAGAUUCGCUAAUACCGCAUACGCCCUACGGGGGAAAGCUGGGGGCCUUCGGCACUGGCGUUAAUCGAGCGGGCGAUAUCUGAUUAGCUAGUGGGUGAGGUAAAGGCUCACCAAGGCGACGAUCAGGAGCUGGUCUGAAAGGACGACCAGCCACACUUGAACUGAGACACGGUCCAGACUCCUACGGGAGGCAGCAGUGGGGAAUUUUGGACAAUGGGCGCAAGCCUGAUCCAGCCAUUCCGCGUGAGCGAAGAAGGCCUUCGGGUUGUAAAGCUCUUUCGCAAGGGAAGAAAACUUAGCCACUAACAUUGGUUGAGGUUGACGGUACCUUGAUAAGAAGCACCGGCUAACUACGUGCCAGCAGCCGCCGUAA